AUUGAACGCUGGCGGCAGGCCUAACACAUGCAAGUCGAACGAGUGGCGGACGGGUGAGUAAAGUCUGGGAAACUGACUGAUGGAGGGGGAUAACAACAGGAAACGGUAGCUAAUACCGCAUACCAUCGGAGGUGCCCAGAUGGGAUUAGCUAGGAGGUGGGGGAAAGGCGCACCUAGGGGACGAUCCCUAGCGGGUCUGAGAGGAUGACCAGCCACACGUGAACUGAGACACGGUCCAGCCUCCUACGGGAGGCAGCAGUGGGGAAUAUUGCACAAUGGGCGCCAUCCUGAUGCAGCCAUGCCGCGUGUAUGAAGAAGGCCUUCGGGUUGUAAAGUACUUUCAGCGGGGAGGCGUUACCCGCAGAAGAAGCACCGGCUAACUCCGUGCCAGCAGCCGCGGUAAUAC
rnacentral:rRNA from 1 species